GACGAACGCUGGCGGCGUGGAUUAGGCAUGCAAGUCGAACGGUAUCAUCCUUUCGGGGGUGAGAGAGUGGCGAACUGGUGAGUAACACGUAGGUUAUCUACCCUCAAGACGGGGACAACCCAGGGAAACUUGGGCUAAUACCGGAUGUGAGCAACUUUUAGUUGUUUGAAAGGUGGCGUAAGCUGUCGCUUGGGGAUGAGCCUGCGUCCUAUUAGUUAGUUGGUGAGGUAACGGCUCACCUAGGCAAUGAUAGGUAGGCGGCCUUAACGGGUGGUCGCCCACACGUGGGAUUGAGAUACGGCCCAGACUCCUACGGGAGGCAGCAGUCGAGAAUAGUCUACAAUGGUCGGAAGACUGAUAGUGCGACGCCGCGUGAACGACGAAUCCCUUCGGGGUGUAAAGUUCUUUUAUAUGUGAGCAGUGCUUCUUAUAUUAACAGUAUGGGGAGAGAGAUAUUAGCAUAUGAAUAAGCAACGGCUAACUCCGUGCCAGCAGCCGACGGUAAAAUCACG
rnacentral:rRNA from 1 species